ACUCAAAGGAAUUGACGGGGACCCGCACAAGCAGCGGAGCAUGUGGUUUAAUUCGAAGCAACGCGAAGAACCUUACCAAGGCUUGACAUCCCCUUGACCGGUGCAGAGAUGUACCCUCCUCUUCGGAGGCAAGGGAGACAGGUGGUGCAUGGUUGUCGUCAGCUCGUGUCGUGAGAUGUUGGGUUAAGUCCCGCAACGAGCGCAACCCUUAUCCUUAGUUGCCAUCAGGUAAAGCUGGGCACUCUAAGGAGACUGCCGAUGAUAAAUCGGAGGAAGGUGGGGAUGACGUCAAAUCAUCAUGCCCCUUAUGUCUUGGGCUACACACGUGCUACAAUGGUCGGUACAAAGGGCAGCUAAGGAGUGAUCCGGAGCAAAUCCCAAUAAACCGAUCCCAGUUCGGAUUGUAGGCUGCAACUCGCCUACAUGAAGUCGGAGUUGCUAGUAAUCGCGAAUCAGCACGUCGCGGUGAAUGCGUUCCCGGGUCUUGCACACACCGCCCGU
rnacentral:rRNA from 1 species